AUGCUUUUGUAGUUGAUAAGUGUGAUGAUUGGGUGUUCACACUCUUGUGAGAUAUGCCUCCCUUAAGCCUUGUUACAUCAGCACAUUACAUGUCUGACU